CUCGGAUCCUUUCAGUGCCACAAGACUCCAGGAAGAAACAAAUACUUUGGAAGCCAAAACCCCAAGGCAGGUGAGCAAGAAAAAGUUAUCAUCUGUCUUCAGAGGCUGAUUGACCCUGACAACAUUAUAUAUUUUUACAGAUCAGGAUUCUGAGGUUCAGAGGCUCCAUACUGUUCCCUGUCCAUCUUCAUGCUAAGCUCCUGAGGCCCAGACUUCACUUCUGACAGGACAUCUAACUGAAACCCUGGAAGCCUUUCCUUCUGAUCUGUGAAACUUUGUUACUGACCCACACUCCUUAUUAGAAAGUAAGGGGUUUUUUUGGUUGUUGUUGUUGUUUUUGAGGUCAAGGA